ensembl:lncRNA
GAAAUCUGUCAGAGUGAGUGCAUAAGUCUCUAACUGAAACAAAGUAAAAUUAUUUUAUUCAUUUUUCUAAAGUCAUCUUCACAAUGGGGUUAGAAAGUAUUUUUAUUCGAUGUGAACUGUACUCCCAUAGCCUUGGCCAUCCCUAUGAUUCUAAAAUCUUAAGUCCUUGGGGCACGGUACCUUGCCAUAUGUAUAGAGACCUACAAUGGAAUUACACCAUUAAGGAUCCUCCUGAAGCGACAGUAGUAGGCUGAAUUAUGUGUACCAUAUGACUCCAGCUAUUAUAACAUAGCUAAUUGGACAAAAGAUGGGAAACUAAGCAAUGCAGCUAAAACAUAGGCUGGUUAGUGACCUAUGAUUGACAUGUUUUGGUAUUAAAAGAGGAUCUGGGUCAAUCAGCAUCUCUCUGUCAGCAAUUUGAAUUAGGAAAACAAGAUAGGUAUCAGUUAGCCGUGGAAGCUAAAGUCAGCAGAAAUGGUCAGAGUCAGACCGUGAUGGCCAUGUGGAAGCUAAGAGUAUAGGGCGGCAGAAACCAUGAAUGAGCAGAAGCUUAAGUGAAUAAAGGACAUAGGGUAGAAGAUGAGGAUUCUGCUGAAGAUACUACAAGAGGAGACACACAAAGAGAUGGAAAGAGUAACAGAGAAUCUUGUCAAUGGUGGAGAUAUUUGACCUUCUGUUGCUGAGAUCUCUGCAGCUGUUGAGCGUCCAGUUUUUGUUUCUAUAUGGCAAGCUUCAUUUGGGUCUUCAUUCAACUACUCAACCACAAAAGUCAGCUGAGCUGGAGAGAAACGGUGAUUCCUAGAAAGUAAAUACCUAGACAUCGGUGGCUCACUACAUCAAGUGUUUUCUGCCAGCUGCAUGCAGGUCACGUUUCCUGUAUCACGCUUUGGCAGGCAGCGAUGCUCUGGUCUGCUCCAACUGCGGUUGUGCAGAGAUUGGUGACAUUGACUUUUGGGGCCAGGCCAAAUGGAUUUCUGGUUCUUGGACUGUGCUAAUCAAUAUAACUUUCUUCCAAAGCCACUUCUCUUCAUCCUUCACUGACAAUUUGGAUGCAUACUGAAGAGGGCAUGAUGAAAAUCUCUGACCUGGUUUUGCAGUCAUGAGAGGUUUGGAGAGCGGCAAUUAAGAUCUAAACAUUUACUUGAUGUUUCAGUGAAGAAUUUCAACUUUAUGAGCCGCUUAACCAAAGUUAAGUAAUUUUUAUUUACUUUCUUUUUUGGAUCUUUGCAUACACUAACAUAUUGCUGUUUUUUAUAACCUGGCUCGUCAACCUCUGUGCAAGUUCUGAGGAGGUGGGGAGCUUUCCUGUGACCCAUUUUCAUCCUUUGAACCUAGACCAGCAACAGGCGUGCUCGUUAUUGUCGCUAUUUCUAAAAUGCACAAACAUUAUCACCAGGUAAAAGCCAGAUCCAUACCAAUGAAGUGAUCCUUCUACCAAUCAGAAAGUACUUGCCUAAAGUGAAUAUAACCUGACGUGGAAGUUAAAUUGCUGGUUCUGGAGAUGGCAGAGUAGGACAAGUGUGAGUGGAAAUUACAGGGAUGUAGAUUUUCCCUCCAUCUGAGGAAGAGCUUGGCAAUAAGUAGCUGUUGAAUUCCUGCUUCACGAUGGAGAAGGAGUUUCCUGUCUCUUGGAUGGAUUUUCGGGAGUCACAGAAGAGAUUAUUGUAUUGUUAGAUGCUCUAUCCUUCCCUCCCUUCCGUUUUCUCUGUCAUCUGUCUUCCUUUUUCAUCCCUUCCAUUUCUCCCUCCCUUUCCUUCCCUUCCCCCCUCUUCCUACUCACUCCUCACACGUGUAUUAAAUUCCUAUGGAGCAUCAGAUACUUUCCUUCUUAAUGUAAAGGUCUGUAAUCAAGAAUGGUGGAAGGGAAGAGCCUGGGUCCCUGAAGAGAUCACAGAACAGAGCUGCCAUAGCCAUCCUACAUUGCCUCCCUUUAGACCUUUAGGGAGAGAAAAAUAAAAGUCUAU